GAAACUCUAAUAAUCACAAGGUAAGAGGUAAAUAUGGGGGUGAACAGCAACAGCGAGCAGUAGACAAGUAACUCAACACUAGAGGUCCCUCUCUUCUUAAGAUCUAAAGGCCUGCCCUGUCUGGGAUCUUAGCCAGCUUCAGUGGCUUCUGACUGGGAACAGAAAGUGAGGAGCAAAGGAAAUCUGAACCAGAGAAUUCUUUGUGGCAUUGCAAAUUAGAUCUCAGGCAGCAGAGGCCUGCAUCACUGAGUUCUGGCUCGCCCACAAAGUAUUUGCUCCCCAACUCUCAGCCCCAGCUUCAUUUUGUUCUAUUUCUAUCUGCUUCUUAAUUUAGCCAUGUGACUGCAUUCAAACCCUUUUAUCUCGUCCCCAUCUGGAAGGCAAUCUGGGUUGGUCCUGAAUUUUUAUUCCUGUGGAAUAGAAGAGAGUGACAGAGUCCCCACUGCUCCUCCGAGGGUCACUGCGAUGCCGAGGUGAACUGAGGGAUUUCACAGAUCAGGUGGCAAGGGCUCAUGGCAGACAGGAAGAAGCUGACAUUAUUCACACGCAGCUAGCAAGUCAGAGAAAUGAGGGCUUAGAUGAGGGCUGUUGUUUUCCAGCAAGGGCCAGUGUCUGGCAGGCAAAGAACUAAGGAGACAGUCUCGUGAGAAGGCCAGAGCUUGCUUUUAAAACCGGGAAGACAAUGGCGACCAAUACUGGGAAGGAAAUGGAAAGAUCACAUAGGAAAGGAAAGCUCUCUUCUUCGUCUUAGUAGUGUCACCUCCGGUGAAGAAGGGGACACCGAGGGUGACAGUCUCUUUGGAGGUCUCCAUGAUGCUCAUGUUUUUCUUUUUAAUGUUGUGUGAAAUUUUAGCUUCAUUGUGAAGUCUAGACAGAGCCUGGUCCUUUCUCUGUGUCUGUCUCCCAGAGGCUUCUGUUUUCUUCUACAGACACACAUACCUCAGCAUCCUUUGUGGCCUGGUGGUGGAGCUGGAAGCAGCAUUGGACACUCUGUAGUGACCAGAAGUAGUGUGUGUGUGUGUGGUAUUUGUGUGGUGUGUGUGGUAUGUGUUUGUGUGGUGUGUGUGUGUGUGGGGGUGUGGUGUGUAUGCUUGUGUGGUGUGUGUAUGUGUGUGUGGUGUGUGUAUGUGUGUGUGGUGUGUGUGUGUGCUUGUGUGGUAUGUGUGUGUGUGGUGUGUGUCUGCUUGUGUGUGGUACAUGUGUGUGUAUGUGUGCUUUAUGUGGUGUGUGUGUGUGUGUGUGUGUGUGUGUGUGUGUGUGGUGUGUCUGUGCAUGCAAGCACUUGUGCAAGGCUCAUGGUGACUCUGGAAGGAGGUCCAGAAAAUUUAGUCAAAACAACGUUACAGUCUAGAAAUGGGAUCAUAAACUCUGGGGACUAGAGGAUAAGUCCUUGGCCUUGGAAGCUCCUUUCUCCAUUGUGCUAAGUUCAGCCUGAGAAAAACCAGUUCAGGGCUCAUGGCCUAUGUGCAAGAGCUAUGCCUAGUGUUUCUUAGGUCUCAGUCCCCAGUCCCUUUGUUGUCUGUUACCAUGUCUAGUGUUCCUUGGGUUCUAGUGUUUCCAAACCUAGGAAUUUCCUGAGAAUCUCCUGACUAAAAUGGCUGUUCUCACACACAGCCAGAUACGUCCUUAAUGAUUUCUACCAAAUCCAGUGGCUUUGAAUUUGGCAUCCAUUGCAUUCUGCAAAGGCAAUCUGAGCCCGAAAAACGCUUUGGCAGUGAGAGCCAUCUGCCUGUGGAGAGGCUGGACCCAGUUUAGGAGAGGCAGAAAAUUAUGCAAAUUAUCAGUGCAAUCUGACAUUCACCAUUUAACUGACUCAGUCCAGAGUUGAUUGUAUAAAGAAGGAAGGCUACAUGUAGCUGGAUGCCUGGGCUGGAAAUCUUUGUGUACUGUGUUCAGGUACUUGUUAUAUGAGGUGGGCAGAGAACAACCUUGGAUAUCCAUCUUGUUUUAUGCAUUAGGCUCUCAGGCUUGGAGCUCACCAAGUAGGCUAGACUUGGUUACCCAGUGAACCCCAGGUAU
rnacentral:lncRNA from 1 species